rfam:Myotis davidii contig130940, whole genome shotgun sequence.
GGCAGUUCUCAGGUGAUGCACCCCAGAAUUGGGCUCCCUCCUCUCUGGUUCCAGGUGUGUCACCCAAGAAACGCA